rnacentral:lncRNA from 1 species
GUAGGAACAAUGGCCCUGUCUCUCAACAGUAGGUUGGAACUGAUGUGUGCAGAUGCUACGAUACAAAGGAAAAGCCCAAAACUUCUGGGAAAAUACUAGCUGGAAAAUGACUUGAUCAAAACUUGACAACCUUACCAGCAUCACGGAGGUUGAUGAAUACUGAUAAAGCUGUAGAUGUCACUGACUAGCAGCUUCAUUUUGAAUGAGGGGUCAAUAGCUGCCCAUUGAAAGAGGCCAAUUUGCUGAAGUUCCUAAGGUGUAACUAUUUCUGGUUAGUGCCAGGACUUUUACUUGUCUGUUGUAUGAAAACA